UGUAUAGGAAAAUGGUUUUGUUUUAACCUUGUUCUUUGAUUCCCGCUGCCCUGCAAAUGAAUACUAACCUCUUACUAAUGCAUUCACCCCAAGCAGAGUAUCAGGACCACCAAUCUGAGGGCUGGACUGAACUCCUCAGUGCCACUUAAUGUUCCUUUUUUAGUUUGGUCCUACAGGUUCCUGUUAAGAGGAUGCAGGGUCCCUCUAGCAAUUGGGAAUGCCAGAUGCUGGUCCCAUGAGUAAAACGGCAGGUUUUCUUGGCGAACCGGAGAGCUGUCACUUAGCUUGCUCAUAAGGCUUGAGUUAAUACUAACAACGCUGAACACUGCCUAAACUUUGAAUGUACAUGCGCAUAGUGAGAACAAGACAAUUAGACCAGCAAAUUUGUCUAUUCUGUUCAUGGGAUAAUGGUAUAAUAAACAUGGUGUUAAUCUGAUAAGCAAGUCGUCUAGAGCAGAUGCACUCAGACUGGGGCUUGAGUUUUCUUACGAGAAGUUUGUAUUUAUUAUGGUUUGAGCUAUUUUUACUCUUUCAUCUUCAACCUUGCCAAUCUUAAAUCUGAUAUUUAAGUUCAAUUGUAUUGUAUUGAAUGUACAUAGACUUUGGGAUUGCAGUAGUGCAAUAAAUGGGAGGUAUGCUUGAAGCCUCCUUGGCACUAAGUUCACCUGGCUGGGUUUCCAAUCCCAGCAAGAGCGAUGAGGGUGUGCUGUUGUGACCCAAACAACUGGGGAUCAACAAGAAAAAUGGUUGUAUGGUUGGGCAGGAAGUCUGGAUGGGUAGGUCUGGACGAUUGGGUUUAUUCAUGCCCUUUGGCCAUAAGAAGUUGGAACUUCCUUGCAAAUGCAGGAUAGUACCUUUUGGGGGCUAGUCCAUAAGAGGUCCCAUUAAGUGUAAAUCUUGCUAGGGGAUUGUUCCACUCUGUUUAAAUGUGAUUUUAAUUUUUGGUAUGUGGCUCAGGGUAAUUCUCCUAUGGCUGCUCUGUAAUGGUGAGUUAUUUCUUCACAGGAUUGGUCAGCCCCUCUGGAUUGGUUAUAGGGACACCUAAACUUCCAGAUAAGGAAGAAGAAACUGAAAGCUUCCAACUGGAAGUCAGAGUCCCAUGCAUUUACGAUGAUUUCUGCUGUUGUACAAAACAGGCACUGGAUCAUCAUAUGUAUAAGGUAAGGAUUUAAAAUACGAGCUCACGCUCCUUUUUCCAAAUUUUACCUCUAUUUCUGUAACAACAAAGCCAAUAAGAUCUGAGUGAAAAUUUGUUUUUGUAAGAGUUUUUGAAGGUGACCUGUGUUGGACUUGAUCCAGCUUUAUGGUUUUUAUGGGCAGCUGUCAGUCAUGGUUGGCCCUAUUUGCAGUUAGCCAUGAUAUCAAAUGGGCAGUGGUGAGAAUUCUGCUGUCCCUUUUGGAGGCAACUCAAGUAAGCUCUAUAAGGAGAAGUGCCUGCAGUUAAGGAAGUGUGAGGAAACUUUAAUUACCUUUGAUUACUGGAUAAAUGUCUUGCAGUUUUUAGACUUGUCUGUGGGCAUGCUUCAUGAGCACUAAAAUUAUUAAUUCAAAUAUGACCCACUAAAUUUAAUCACGAGAAAUAGCUCUGUAACUAUAAUAUAAUGGGUUUUAGCCACAUAAUGGUUAAAUUGACUGGAAUUUGUCUAUCCAGUCUUAAGAUACAGUACUGAGUAGUCUGAAAGCCAGCAGCAGCUAAUUCUUAAUCGGGACAUUAUUCUCUAGACUCUUUUGUUGGACAGAUCCUGAGUUUUAUUUUGAUCAGUCUUUCCUUUUAAGUAGUGCGCUGCUGAAAUUUACAAAAAAUAAAACAGCCCCCUCCACCUAAAACA
ensembl:lncRNA